rnacentral:rRNA from 1 species
AGAGUUUGAUCCUGGCUCAGAGCGAACGUUAGCGGCGGGCCUAACACAUGCAAGUCGAACGAGAAUGUAGACUUCGGUCUACUAGUAAAGUGGCGGACGGGUGCGUAACACGUGGGUAAUCUACCUUCCGGCGGGGGACAACAGUCCGAAAGGAUUGCUAAUACCGCAUACGUCAGCGGCGCCUACGGGCGCUGUUGGGAAAGAUGGCCUCUCCUUGGAAGCUGUCACCGGAAGAUGAGCCCGCGUCCCAUCAGUUAGUUGGUGAGGUAACGGCUCACCAAGGCUUAGACGGGUAGCUGGUCUGAGAGGAUGAUCAGCCACACUGGGACUGCGACACGGCCCAGACUCCUACGGGAGGCAGCAGUGGGGAAUAUUGGGCAAUGGGCGCAAGCCUGACCCAGCCACGCCGCGUGAGUGAUGAAGGCCUUCGGGUCGUAAAGCUCUGUGGGGAGGGACGAACAAGCUCGGUGUUAAUAACACCGGGCCCUGACGGUACCUCCUUAGCAAGCACCGGCUAACCCUGUGCCAGCAGCCGCGGUAAUACAGGGGGUGCAAACGUUGCUCGGAAUCAUUGGGCGUAAAGCGCACGUAGGCGGUUCGUUAUGUCGGAUGUGAAAGCCCUUGGCUUAACCGAGGAAGUGCAUCCGAAACUGGCGAGCUAGAGUACUAAAGAGGAUCGCGGAAUUCCCGGUGUAGAGGUGAAAUUCGUAGAUAUCGGGAGGAACACCGGUGGCGAAGGCGGCGAUCUGGGUAGAUACUGACGCUGAGGUGCGAAAGCGUGGGGAGCAAACAGGAUUAGAUACCCUAGUAGUCC